GCUAAUGUUGAUUAUUAUUAAAUGCAUUUAUUGAAAAUUCUCAUGGCUGUGGCUAUUUAGGUUAUAUGUGUUUAUGCUUGGAUUGGAUAUGUUUCAUGUUGUGUAGGUUGGUGCAAGUAAGGGUGGCAAAAAGGCUUGGUAGAUGCCCUAUUUUUGUCCACAUAAGCAAACACAUGAGCAUAUGUCUAGGCCGUGUGUGGCACACGGUCUGCCUCAUGGGCGUGUAGUUAGGCUGUGUGUCCCCUGCACCUACAUUUAGCAUAACAAAAUGCCUAAUAGUAACCACACGGGUGGAGACACAACCGUGUGGAGGACACGGCCUAGUACAUGGGCAUGUACCAUAGCCGUGUGCCCUUAAAGGGUUGCCGAC
rnacentral:lncRNA from 1 species